UACGUAGGGUGCAAGCGUUGUCCGGAAUUAUUGGGCGUAAAGAGCUCGUAGGCGGUUUGUUGCGUCGGCUGUGAAAUCCCGGGGCUUAACCCCGGGCGUGCAGUGGAUACGGGCUGGCUGGAGGCAGGCAGGGGAGAACGGAAUUCCCGGUGUAGCGGUGAAAUGCGCAGAUAUCGGGAGGAACACCGGUGGCGAAGGCGGUUCUCUGGGCCUGUACUGACGCUGAGGAGCGAAAGCGUGGGGAGCGAACAGG
rnacentral:rRNA from 1 species